rnacentral:rRNA from 1 species
GACCCUAGGGACGCAGCAGUGAGGAAUAUUGGUCAAUGGGCGCGAGCCUGAACCAGCCAAGUCGCGUGAAGGAUGACUGCCCUACGGGUUGUAAACUUCUUUUAUAAAGGAAUAAAGUGAGGCACGUGUGCCUUUUUGUAUGUACUUUAUGAAUAAGGAUCGGCUAACUCCGUGCCAGCAGCCGCGGUAAUACGGAGGAUCCGAGCGUUAUCCGGAUUUAUUGGGUUUAAAGGGAGCGUAGAUGGGUUGUUAAGUCCGUUGUGAAAGUUUGCGGCUCAACCGUAAACUUUCAAUUGAUA